UUUGUUAAGAAGUACAUCCUAGUGCUCGCUUGGAACAACACAGAGAAGAUUAGCAUGGCCCCUGCACAAGAAUGACAUCCAAGUUUGUGAAGCACUACAUAUUAAA
rnacentral:snRNA from 1 species